GGGUGAUGAUGACACAACCCAGCAGAAGAUGAACUUCUUCCUGAAGAUGGAGAGACUACUCCUGGUCUACGGUAAGGGAAGCCCUGUUUUUCGCUGGAACGUCUCUCCUAAAAUUUGUCAUCAGUGGCAGAGCUGAGAGUAGAACCUAGACCUUCUGUCACAGAAGAAUGCUGUGUAUACGGAAUCAUGGGAUCGGGGUUUUUUUAUUCAGCAUAAUUCUCUGGAGAUUUAUUCAGGCACAUUUUCCAUGGUCUGCUGAGGAGUAAUCAUACUCCAGAAAGCUUUUAAAAAAGAAGACUAAGAAAUAG